GAACCCAUCUAUUAUCUCUCAGAUCUGGAUGGAGGAGGAAAGAUGCCAUUGAUGGAUCCUCUAGAACCCCGUCAGUGAGCAUUAAGUUUAGAGCAGCACUUUGGGCACUGUUACAGAAGGUGUAACAAUGAAUCAGAAGGUAGAACCUCUGCCCUCAAAGAAGGUAAACAAUUUUAAGGAAGAGACCUGUGCAUGCAUAACAAGUAUUUGUAUCCUGUGUCACUGUACCACUGUGAGAUGCACCAUUGGAUCAAGACAAAAUACCUGAGAGCAUACAAGUAGCUGGAAUGGGAGUCGGCCUACAGAGACUAAUAAAACCACAAUAAUAUAUGGCACUUUACAAAUUCAUUCCUUGGAACAAAUUUUCAUCACUGAAGCCUGCAAAUUGAAAUACAAAGCAAAUCUAUUCAAAUCCCUUCUACCAAAUUAAAUCAAUUUCUUUUUUCCAUUGAAAUCAACAUUGUUUUCUCAAUAACCAUCAAGAAUAUUAACUUAAGUGUCCAUUGGUAAUUAGAUAAAAAU